rnacentral:rRNA from 1 species
UACGUAGGGCGCAAGCGUUUGUCCGGAAUUAUUGGGCGUAAAGAGCUCGUAGGCGGCUUGUCACGUCGGUUGUGAAAGCCCGGGGCUUAACCCCGGGUCUGCAGUCGAUACGGGCAGGCUAGAGUGUGGUAGGGGAGACUGGAAUUCCUGGUGUAGCGGUGAAAUGCGCAGAUAUCAGGAGGAACACCGGUGGCGAAGGCGGGUCUCUGGGCAACAACUGACGCUGAGGAGCGAAAGCGUGGGGGAGCAAACAGG